UACGGGGGGGGGCAAGCGUUGUUCGGAAUUACUGGGCGUAAAGGGCGCGUAGGCGGCCUUCUAAGUCGAACGUGAAAUCCCUGGGCUCAACCCAGGAACUGCGUCCGAUACUGGCAGGCUUGAAUCCGGGAGAGGGAUGCGGAAUUCCAGGUGUAGCGGUGAAAUGCGUAGAUAUCUGGAGGAACACCGGUGGCGAAGGCGGCAUCCUGGACCGGCAUUGACGCUGAGGCGCGAAAGUCAGGGGAGCAAACGGG
rnacentral:rRNA from 1 species